rnacentral:lncRNA from 1 species
CCUCGGUCCUGCGUUGACUCGACGUCCUCUCUGUGACACAAUCACGUAACACGUCUCCACGUGUGUUGCAAAACACGCAAAGUAUGAAUGUUGGUUGAAUGAGAGUGUGAAAGGGCGCGUGCGUGUAGAACUACACAUAACUCCAACAUAUAUUUCUGCACUACACAACAUUAAGGGUGAUGCGGGCUAUGCGGCAGGAGGUCGCCCCACCUACACUAAUACACACACUACACAUACACUAGGUGGCCUCGGUCCUGCGUUGACCCGACGUCCUCUCUGUGACACUAUCACGUAACACGUCUCCACGUGUGUUGAAAAACACGCAAAGUAUGAAUGUUGGUUGAAUGAGAGUGUGAAAGGGCGCGUGCGUGUAGAACUACACAUAACUCCAACAUAUAUUUCUGCACUACACAACAUUAAGGGUGAUGCGGGCUAUGCGGCAGGAGGUCGCCCCACCUACACUAAUACACAC